rnacentral:rRNA from 1 species
UACGAUACGAGUUUGAUCAUGGCUCAGAACGAACGCUGGCGGCAGGCCUAACACAUGCAAGUCGAGCGCCCCUUCGGGGGAGCGGCGGACGGGUGAGUAACGCGUGGGAACGUACCCUUUGCUACGGAAUAGCCUCGGGAAACUGGGAGUAAUACCGUAUGUGCCCUUCGGGGGAAAGAUUUAUCGGCAAAGGAUCGGCCCGCGUUGGAUUAGGUAGUUGGUGGGGUAAUGGCCUACCAAGCCGACGAUCCAUAGCUGGUUUGAGAGGAUGAUCAGCCACACUGGGACUGAGACACGGCCCAGACUCCUACGGGAGGCAGCAGUGGGGAAUCUUAGACAAUGGGCGCAAGCCUGAUCUAGCCAUGCCGCGUGAGCGAUGAAGGCCUUAGGGUUGUAAAGCUCUUUCAGGGGGGGAAGAUAAUGACUGUACCCCCAGAAGAAGCCCCGGCUAACUCCGUG